rnacentral:lncRNA from 1 species
GGGAUGGACUUGUUUCAGAACCUUGAAGAUGUAGAUCUUGUAUGUCUCGACGCUCUUCUUCUUCAUCUUCUUCUUCUUGUCGCCGCCUGCUCCGGCUUCUUUCGGAAGUUUCUUGCCGGCUUUUGGUUUCUUCUCCGCCGGAGCUUUCUCGGCUUUUGAUUUGUCUUCCACUGGCUUCUCGGCGGCUGGUUUCUUCUCCGCUGGCUUCUUCUCUGCUCUCGGCGCCAUUGUUUUGACUUUGUUUUUUUUUUUUCUGGGUGAAGGAAGAAGAAGAAGCACAGAUCUAUGUGGUUUUGGUAUCUUCCUUGACGAAGAUGAGUUUUGGUUUUAUAGUAGUUCGUGUAAUUGAUUUUAUUGGUUCUUAGAUAUUAACGAGGAUCGAUGAGGUGAGAAGAUCUUACCCGUUGAUUUUAUUUUUAAUCGACGGUUUGUAAGAAGUGCUUAUAAAUUAGGAAAACUUAUAAAGCGGGAUCGCUGACGUGUCAAAUAUUUGGUGUAUGUUGGCGCGGCGUUAAAUUCUCCGUUCCCGCUACAUUAUAUUCUACAUGGGCUUUUCUUGGGCCUGAUCCAAACAAAUUAACAAGAACAUAGGCCAACGUCAAAAACCCAAAAACACUAUCUUAGCCGUUUAUUACUUUCCAUCGACUUAUAACAAACAAGUCUCAUUUAGCCUUUUUUACACUCACUAUCGUAAAAAACAUCCAUUGACCGUUAUAUUUUGACCCGGUCCAGCCGGUUUAUCCAAUUGCGAACAUAUAAACCGAAAAAAUUAUUGUUAUGCUUUACUGUGUAUAAGGAGAUGCAUGAUUUGGAUUAUAAAGACGAUCAAACAAAGAUAAGUAAGAAGUUUGUUUGAUCAUAGAAAUCACCAUCCAUCACACAAAAACAAAUUAACAGAAACACAUCUCAUUAUUCGAUCGGUUCAGAUGUGAUUUUUGAAAAAGAAACUUCAUUAUCCAUCUCCAUAAGACCAUAACCAUCUAGUACGUGCAUGCAUGAUAUAAGGUUGCUUUUACGAGCAGAAAUAGAAGACCAUCGUAAUAACCAAAGCUAAAAAGGCAAACAUAGCUAAUAAACAUACAUAAGUCCCCAUAUAUAUAUAAUCCAAACAAGCUAGUCACCAUGCAUGUCACAGAUAAGAUGCCAAGGAAGAUAGCAAUCUCUUCGAAAACCCUAGCGUAUGAUGGACAAAUCAUGAACAAGGCUGAUAUGAAUAAAAAACUGAUAUGUUCUUGUUAAUUUUUAUUAUCUGAGUUUUUUUUUUUUUUGCAGUUAAUGAAAUGAAUCAUACAGAAGAAGAUCAUGGAGGUGGUGAUUAUGAUUAUGAGUUGGAUCAGCUCUUCCUUGUACAUUCUGAUAUUACAUCUUUUCUCCAUCAGGUACACUUGAGUUGGGUCCUUUUGAUAAUCUAUCUGAGAGCUCCUCUGUGUCCUUUGUAUGGUUGAAAAAGAUGAACAAUUUGUUAAUUGAGCCAUGUUUCCAUGUUUUGUCAAUCCUUUUUGGUGAUAUAUGCUCUGUAUCAUGAGUUAUGGCUAAUCAUUUGUUGAAUAUCAGAUUGAUGAGCUUGUUGUGCAAACCAUGAAGCGUAAGACCGUGGGACGAGAGAAGUUGGAUCCUUUAGAUCUGUCUUGUCUGAUAUGCUGUCCACACUUAAGGUAUCAUUUCUUUUUACCUACUGUGUAUUUUUUUUUUUGGGCUUCUUGUGUUAACCAUUUGUUUUAGAACUGUAUUCUAUUUUAAUUAUGCAGCCAUGGUUUCCACGAUUGCAAGAAGUGAUAUCUGAAAAUCUGAAUUCCUUAAUCAUCAGAAUGCGUCAAAGCUGACGGCUAAAAAGAUUAAGAAUUUGAUCAUUGCAAACAUUUUUGAAAUUGAACUGAAACAUAAAAAGACACAAUUUUAACAUCACUAGCUUCAGAUUAUGGUGAUUCAAAGGAAUAUAAGCCAAGAAUCUCAUCAUCUCAUAGAAAAAAAAACAUACAAUAUGAUUUUUAUUAUAAAAUCUAACCAACAUGAAUCAAUUGCAUUACAUUUUUAUAUUUAAUAAAUUGGUGGCCUGAUGAUACCCAAUAGAGCGCAUAAGUUUGUAAGGUAGUCUAAAUACACAGGAACUAAAUACCCCAAACAAUGUUCGGGUACAUCGAAUAGAACGAUACAACAUUCCCUUGUAACGCUCUUGAACUUCAAAUGCUCCACUGACUUAACACAUUGCGGAACUUUUUUAAAACCUUUCAAACAAGCAAAUGGUUUUGGUAGCCACCCUUCAGCUGACACUGGAGCAAACGCAAGUUCAUCAUCUGACUUUGGAGCAAACACAAGACCAUCAUCGUUACCUUUGAUUUGAGAAACUGAUAAUAUUAUUACAACUAUCAUUGAUAAGAUUGAGACAGACAUCUUCCCACUCAUGUUUAAGUGUGUUUGAUUUUUAUAACUUGGAUUUUGUGUAUUGUGAUUAUGACUGUGAGUCUGUGAGACUUUGGGACUAUCAUUCUUAGUAUUUAUAAGGGGAAUUUCUCAAAUUUGACUCAUAUUUAAUGUGAUAUAACUAGAUGGCUCACUCUAGUGAGCCAAAUAUUUUGGAAUAUUCUUUUAUUUGGAUAAAACAGCUAACACUCUAUCUUUUAUAUGAUAAUCACAAAUUAAUUUCCUUUAAAAGAAAUCUGUCCACGUAAUUCCCUUUCUUAACUUUCUUCAAUUGGAAAGAAAUAUAACAAAACAAAGAAACUAAUACAUAGUUUCUCAUCUUUAAGACCAUCCCCAAUGUAUUUAUCUAUUUCUACCUCUAAAAAGGAAUAUUCCAUAUAGAUUAGAUUUUUAAUUUAGUAUUAAUACCUUCUACUUUUAAAAUUUACAAAUUAACCCAUCUAACUUUAACAUUUGUAAAAACUACAAACUAACCUAUUUAUUUAAAGAAUUAUUCUACAAACAAAAAAGUUAAACUCUACAUAAAAGAAGACAUUAUUGAUUUAUUUUGGUUCUAUAUAUAAAAAAUUUAAACUUAAAAUGUUUUUAAAAAUAAUUUUAAAUAUUUUGUUAUAUUAUUAAUUUUUAAAAGUAUUAAUUUUAUUUAUUAUAAUCAUAGAUACCAAAAAAUUAAAAGUUAAAGGAUUCUUUUGUAAUUAAAAAAGUUGAACUCUAAUACUCUAUUAUAGAGGAAAAAAUAGAGUUCAUAUAUAUAUAUAGUAAAAUAUAGCAAUUUUUAUAUUAGAGGUGGAUAUAGAAAUGAGGAGAAGUGAAUUUUAAAAUAGAGUAUAGAGGCAAAUAUAGAGGUGGGUUGGAGAUGCUCUAAAACAGAGAAUACAAUAGAGAAUGAAAAAAAGAAAGCAAAUCAAGACGGUAAGAAUUUGAUCAUUGCAAACAUUUUUGAAACUGAACUGAAACAUAAAAGACACAAUUUUAACAUCACUAGCUUCAGAUUAUGGUGAUUCAAAGGAUUGUGAAUAAGCCAAGAAUCUCAUCAUCUCCUAUAUAGAAUAGAAACAUACAUUUGAUUUUUAUUAUAAAUCGUCUAAAACAUGAAUCAAUUGCAUUACAUUUUUAUAUUUUAUAAUUAAAUUCUUGGCCUGAUGAUACCCAAUGCAUCGCAUAAGAUUUCAAGCGAGCCUAAAAACUCAGGAAAUAAAUCCCCCAAACAAUGGUCGGGUAGAUCGAGCAGAACGCUACAACAUUCCCUUGUAACGGUCUUGAACUUAAAAUGCUCCACUGACUUAACACAAUAGGGAACUCUUUUAAAAUCUUUCAAACAAGCAAAUGGUUUUGGUAGCCACCCUUCAGCUGACACUGGAGCAAACGCAAGUUCAUCAUCUGACUUUGGAGCAAACGCAAGACCAUCAUCGUUACCUUUCGUGAUUUGCAAAACUGAUAAUAUUAUUACAACUAUCAUUGAUAAGAUUGAGAUAGACGACAUCUUCCCACUCAUUUUCAAGUGUUUGAUUUGUAUAACUUGGAUUUGUGUAUUGUGAUUAUGCUGUGAAACUUGGGACAUCAUUCUUAGUAUUUAUAAGGGGGAAUUACUCAAAUAUGACUAAUAUUUGAUGUGAUAUAACUAGAUGACUCACUCUAGUGACCCAAAUAUUUUGGAAAUAUUCUUUAAUUUGGAUAAAACAGCUAACUCUCUCAUCUUUUAUAUGAUAAUCACAAAUUAAAUUUCUUUAAAAGAAAUUUGACCACGUAAUUCUCUUUCUUAACUUUCUUCAAUUGGAAAGAAAUAAAACAAAACAAAGACACUAAUACAUAGUUUCUCAUCUUUAAGACCAUCUCCAAUGUAUUUCUCUAUUUCUACCUCUAAAAAGGAAUAUUCCAUAUAGAUUCGAUUUUUAAUUUAGUAUUAAUACCUUUUACUUUUAAAAUUUACAAAUUAACCCAUCUAUUAGUUUUUAGUAAAAAGGCCCAAACUUUUAGUAAAAGAGCCUAAAUUUUUCAAAAAACUAUUAAAUUUACUUAAAAAACCUCCAUAUAAUUUUAGAAAGUUUUAUAACAUAUUAUAAUUUUUCUUAAGAAGGUCCAAGGGACCAGAAUAAUGUUGUGCCGGGGCUGGUCCUGCAAGCACUCUUUUCCUCCGGUGUCUCUCUUUCUAACAUAUGAACCAGUAAGUUAAUAAACCCUUAGAGCACCCCCAACGGGAGUUCUCCGACCAAUCUCUCACCAUUAAAAUAAUUGAAAAUAUAUAAAAAGAGAGGAAAGAGAGAUGACCGGUUCUCUAAAAAGAACUUUGCCAACCCUCUAAAGAACCUCUCUCGCCACAUGUUUUAAUUUUAUUGGUUCAUCUCUAUUUAUGAAUUAAAUUUAAUUACAUAAUAAAACUAAAAUAAAAAAUAAUAUAUAUUAAUUUCAGAGAUACACUUGGUGAGAUAUCCACCGAUGGUGAUGGCCUUAUGUCAUUCUAAUUAAUAGAAUGGGUUUAAACCGUUUUCGUUUAUAGCUGCAUUUAUAGCUUAAUCCUUUGGUUUGUGAAACAGGAUCCUACAUAUGGCCUUCAAAGUCAAAUCUCUGGUUGGAUAAUCCAAUGCUCAUAUCUGGUGAGAGGAAGGAACUUCAUUUCAUAUCUUGGCAUGCUUGAGUCUAACCGUGUCCAAGUUAUACGGGAACUACCACUUGAUGAUCUUCUUGGAACAAAAGCCUCCACUCCUAUAGAGCUUUCUGUCUAUGAAAGCUUUUUCUAAUGGCAGGUACGUGUUAUGUUUGAUAAUUUUGCAUGAUACUUAUUGAAUCAAUUAAGCUUUUUGUUUUUGUUUUAUCUCAACUAGUUAGUUUUGUUUUCACAGAUGGAGUGGAUUCAGAGGUACUUGAUGAUGAGGAGGAUUGGAGGAUCAUGUUUGGUCUUGUGAAGUAUACCUUUCUACUGGUCAAGGCUUUGAAGAUUUCUCCAUGCAUCUCAAAUACAAAAUUCACGUAAGCAUCUUAGCCACACAUAAAUAAAAACUAAAAUUAUUCAUCGUCUAACCAUUUGAUUCCAAGAAAGUCCUACCUCAGAUUUUGACUCCCAUGCUAUUUUUUUUCCACAGGAUAAGAAUUUAGCUGAAGAAGAAGAAGAUUUCGAAGAAUAUCAAGAAAAGAAAUAUGCAUUUGAAUUUUACAAUAAAAUCUAUCAAAAUGACUUAAACUGUAUUACAUUUAUCUUAAUAAAUUACUGGCCUGAUGAUACCCAAUGCAGCGCAUAAGCUUUUAAGCGCAACGCGAUAGCUAAAACGUACAGGGAAAAAAACCCCUAAACAAUGUUCGGGUAGAUUGAGUAAAACGCUACAACAUUCCUUUGUAACAUUCUUGAAUUGAAAAUGUUUCACUGCUUUUACACAAUUCGGAACUUUUCUAAAAUCUCCCAAACAAGCCAAUGGCUUUGGUAGCCACCCGUCAUCUCCCAUUGGAGCAAACGCAAGAUCUUCUUCUGACAUUGGAGCAAACGCAAGUUCAUCAUCGUUACCUUUCGUGAUUUGAAAAACUGAUAAUGUUACAACUAUCAUUAAUAAGAUAGAGACAUAGACACGUGUUUUUUGCAUGUUCCCACUCAUUUUUUUUAAGUGUUUUGAUUUGUGUAACUUGGAUUUUAUAUUUGUGAUUAUGACUUGAGAGACUGGGACACUUGGGAUUUUAUAUUGUGAUUAUGACAUCUUUUUGAAUAUCCAAGCUAAAAUAACCCAUAUUCUUGUGGAUCAAAAUACUGUUUAACACUUUCUUUUUGUGAUAAUCACAAAAUUAAGUUUCCUUAAAUGAAAUUUGACCACAGAAAUAUAACAUAUAAGAAGCAAAAUACAGCGAAUUUAGUCUUCCAUUGUUUUCUUUCAAAUUGACUUUAAUUUCUUCAAUUGGAAAAAAAUGAAACUAAACAGAGAAUACAGAGUUUCUGAUCAUCUUAGGGAAACUAAGUUUUUGACUAUUGACCAAGACAGAUGUGAUAUCUUGUCACGAGUUUUCUUCAAUUUAAGCUUUUGUCUUGAAUGCAUGAGUUGUUAACUAUAUCCUAAUCUCUCCAUUGUUGUAGAGAAAUACAAGGAAUAAGCAAAAAUAAUCCAAGACAUAAAUUAUAUUAGGGUAGGAAGAGGAGAUACAAGACUCAUAGAAGAUAUAAACUAUAGUAUAAUCAAACUGAUAUAAAAUUAUAUGAUGUUGAGAGACAUUUCUAGUGAUCACACAUUUUAAGAGAAAUUUGAUAUUUUGUCAUCUCUUAGCAUUGUCAAACAUUACAUGGAAGAGAAGCUAAUAAGUUAGCUAGCUUCGAUGACAUUUUAGAUUAGAUAGAUAAAAAUCAUGGGAUGAUGAGACAAGGCUUUGAAGCCUUAGAAAUAACACAAAUCUGAUUCCCAAAGUAUUGUACAUGUAAACUAAUUGAAAAACCAUCACAAAAGCAACACAUCUCAUAGUUUUCUCAUAGACAUUAAGAUAGACAACAACAAUACCAAAUAGAAUCAAGUUUUGGAAGGUGUUAAAAAAAGUUUUGAUAACUGUCAGAGAGGAAACAUAACCACUCCAGAAACAAACUUAUUUCAAGAACCCUGUAAAGGAACGGUUCGUUAUCUUCUUAGUUGGUGCGGCUUUUGAAAACAUCAAGACCCAUUUCGGUUGGAUCGGUUGCUUGAAGCUCCACUUGAAUCCCAUCUAGUUCUCUCUUAAACCUAUCCUUAGAGCUCGCGUAAAUCAUCUUGUCUCUCACUUUAGCAGUGUCUGGAGACCUUUGCCACACGAAAAAAAACAAACACAUUGAAGCAAUAUAAAGGACAUGACUAUGUAUAUAUGUUAGUUGAAAACAGCGAAUUUUUACCACGCGAUGAAGAAGAUCUUGCUCUUCUGGCAAUUCUCAGCAGUGACAAAAUCGUAAUCGUAAAUGCAGUAUCGGCAUUCUUCAGCAGGAAGACUUGCUGCAAAGUCAUCAUAUGAUUGUUCAGGUUCACCAAGUUUCUCAACGAUCACUUGCUUAUCUUCAAUCUUGUAGACUAUGGUACGAAAUGUUCGUUUCGCUUUCAGUUCCAUAAACUUUAGCUUGCAAUCAUCAUGCACAGCCAUUCCCGAUGCUGCGUUUGCCUAUUAUCAUUUUCCAAUACACACAACACAAACACUUGUAAAAGAUGCUCAUCUCUCUCAAAAACACAAAUUUAUAAACCAAUGAUCACCCAAUUUGGAGAUUGUAAAACAAGUUUAGACUUCAAUUGGUGACGAUUCCUGAGAAAAGAAGCAACUCAUAUAUGGAUCGAACUAGCAUAACAACUCAUAUGAACUUCAAGCUGAAGAAACACCAGAUUCCUCAUACUUGAUUUCAAAUUAACUUAAAAGUCUUAGAUAUAUAUAAAUUCCGAUCACACACACACAAACACAAAAGCAUCAAAGAUCCGAGUACAUAGAGUUCAAAUCCCAGAUCUAACGAGCGAGAAGCAAACGAAUUUGAACUCGUAUCGACUAGCAAAGCAAUCAAAAGCUUCAGAAAUCGAAGAAACUUUAAAAAGAGAAGAAGAAACUGAGCUCACCAUGGCUGAAUCAAACCGAUUUCAAAAUUCUGGUAGAAAAAUGAAGAAGACGGAAGAAAGAUAUUUUUCUCCGGUCGACAAAAAAAAAUCAAUGGAGAAAAUUAUGAAUUUGUGUCUUUUUUUUUUUCUUCACUGUUUCUUCUCUUUUUUUUUUUUGGGCUUUGUGUUAGCGUUAUUUGUAAGCUAUCCGAAUCAUUUUAUUAAUAUGGAAACGUAUUUCAUUUUGUUUAUAUGUUUCUUUCCAUUUGGAUAAGAAUAUAUAAUAAAGUUUUUUUAUUUUGCUCACUCUUCACAAAUUAUUAUAAACAUUAUUACCCUACCUUGCUUUAUUGAAAAUGUCAUCGAUUAGGUGAUAAAUUCGUGGACAAAUUCGGUACCGCUUCAUGUUUGGGGAUAUACAAAUAUGGUCAACACAACCAAUUUUUAAAGAUAAUUCUUUCGAUACAAAACCAUAAGAAUGAAUGAAAAGAAUGGUCAAUACGACCAAAUCCGAUCAUAAUCUUCUUAGUUAAUGUAUCUGUAUAGGUCAGUCUGGUCCUGGACAGUUGUUAAAGAGAAACUUUACUCAUCCAUUUCAUAAAAUGAUACCAAAAUGGGUUCAUCAUCUUCAAUAGACGAUUUUGGGUCCUUACACACCAUUUUAGAACAACAUUGAACACAAGAACACCGCGAUAUAAACGGAAGCUGUUUAGGUUUCAUAGAUUCUUCACAGCAAAAUGUAUAAUAUAAAUUGGUAACAUUAUCACUCCGAAACAACAUCAUAUAGAUCUUUCUCAAAGGGAAAAAUGGAUAAUAAACUUUCGGGUUUACUUUUUUUAGUUGGCACGGCUUCUGAAAACAUCGAGGUCCAUCUCGGUUGGAUCAGUUGCCUGAAGCUCUAUUUGAAUUCCGUCUAGUUCCCUCUUGAACCUGUCCUUGGAGCUCGCGUAGAUCAUCUUGCUUCUCACCUUAGCUAUGUCAGGGCACCUUUGCAAAAACACAACAGUACAUAUAUAAGAUGAAAACCAUUAGAGAGAGAGAUAAUGAGAAAGGAAGACACAAGAAUUGAAUAGCUACCAAGUGAUGAAGAAGAUCUUGCUCUUCUGGCAGUUCUCAGCAGUGACAAAGUCGAAAUCGUAAAUGGCGUAACGGCAUUCAUUAGCUGGAAGACAAGCUGCAAACUCAUCAUAGGUUUGGACAGGCUCACCGACUUUCUCAACGACAACUUGCUUCUGCUUCUCUUCGAUCUUGUAAACAAUGAAACGGUGUGACCUUUUCGCCUUCAGUUCCAGAAAUCUCAGCUUGCAAUCAUCAUGCACAGCCAUUCCCGAUGCCGCGUUAGCCUGUUUUAAACCCAUAUAACCAUGAAGAUCAGAACAUCUUUUCACACUACUACAUAAUCAACAGUCUCAAAAACUUGAAUUGAUAAACUCGUGAUAGCAAUUAAGGUCACAUUCUCAAACCUCAACAUGAAAAAGACAGAUAAUGUGAGAUGAAACUCAUGAAUCAAUAGUGGAAACAACAUCCAACAGUUCAAGAAAGAAGUGAUUAAAGAUCAACAUCAAGCAACACAAAAAAAACUAAAGAUCAAAUGGAGUGAGAGUGAGUGAUCGAGGAGAAAUGGAUCAAACAACCACAACAACACCAAAAUUGAUAAAUGUUCAACAAGAAUAAGCCCUAAAUCAAACUGAUUUCGAAUUCUCGCUAUCAAAGAGAAGCUCUCUCACACAGUUUUGAUCCUAGAUCAGUCACACAACGAUCAACAAAAACACCAAAUCUCAGAGAUCUACGAAACCAAAAGUCCAUUAACAGAUCUAACGAAACAACAAAAAUGAGCAAAAGCAAUCGGAACCAGAAGAUUUAGCAAGCGAGAACCAAACACAAAUCGAGAGAGAGGCGGACGCAGUACAGAUCGAGGGAUUGAAGGUAUAAACAAAAUAAGUAGAAAUUGAGCUCACCAUGGCUGGAAACACACUAGUAUCAGAGCGAAGUCGUGCUUAGAAGAAGAAGAAGAAGAUAUUUUUCUUCAGGCGGCUAAGAGAAUCGACAGAGAGAAGAAGACGGUCACCUUUUUUUCUUUGUCAAUUUCUUUUUCUCUCUUUCUUCCUCAAUUUAUUCGGAAGUCCAACCAAUAUUAAUUAUAUUAUUAUUGAAUAUUGUUUUUUUAAUUCAAUACUAUAAUUAGAUUCAUUUUAUUCAACCCAGUCUUUUUGGUAGGUGUUUUAAUUAUAUCAUUGAUUUUUUUUUGUAAAUUAAUUAAAACAUUGACCAAAAAUAUAUACAUGUAAGUUUUUAAAUAUAAAAAUAGAAAUAUAAGUGAUAUUCCGAAUUAAAAUUUUGAAAUCUCAUUAUACCAUUGAAUCAAUAAGUAAUUUGAUGGUCCACAAACUUGAAUUUCGAUAAAUUUUGGUUAAUUCAGAAGAAAUAAAUAAAAAUUAUUAAGUUAAUCUUUAGUUUAAAUAAGUUAAUCUUUAAUUUAAAUACCGAUUUAAGAUUAGAUGGUUAAAAUUGUAUAUAUAAAAAAUAAUCCAAAAAUUAGAGAAAAAUAUCACAAACAAUAAACAAACCACUGCAAUAUAGUUCGACAAAAGUUUUGGGUUCUUUAAACCGUUUACAAAAAUGAUUCUUCUCCUAUAUAGUUUUAAGAAGAUGGAGAGUGGAGACUCUUCAUAAUUUUAUCUACAAGUCUAAACCAUAUUGGUACUUUAUCAUUUUCAAAAGUUUUGAAUACUCUUAGUUGGUUUCCUAUCUUACUAAUAGAUCUACAAAACUUCCAAUACAAAUUAAAUGUUUAAUUAGUACUUCUCUAUUAUAAUUCAAAUACUAGUCCCAUAUAUGAAUGCUGAUAGCUAUUAGCUAAGACUUUUAGAGCCAAAAAAAUCUUUGAACACUUAUACACACAUUUGGUAUGGGUCUUUUGUGCAUAAUGUAAAAGAAAUGUGAAAAUUUUCCAUAUAAAAAAUAAAUAAAAUCAUAUGCCAAAACAAAAUUGUAUAUCGUAUUUUCUUGGCAUAGAGUAUAUAUAUUUUGGUGAACAAAAAAAAAAGAGUAUAUAUAUUUAUUUAAUAGCCAAAUUACAAUAAAUGAGAUUCUUGCAAAAUUCAAAUAAAAAGAACGAGAGGUACGUGAAUCAUAUUGGCUCUUCGGCAUCUCUCAGUUGGCUCUUCCACACUUACGUGAAUCAUAUAUUGGCUCUUCGGCAUGUUACACUAGCCUCACCGCUUAUUAAAUUGAAGCCCAUUACCUAAAUUAGGCCCGAUAUUUAUACUGUAUUUAAACAAAUUAAGCCCAGAUCAGCUCAAGAGCAAACAUAUAGUGAAGACUCAUUACAAAUUGCUUCUAUCCAUUAUUAGUGUUGUAAAACAUGGAACUGAUGAUCUCAGAUCAAUUCUGUAAACAAGUCUACAUGAUUAUAGUAGUGAGUCUCUCUAUACCCAAAUUACAAUCAGUCAUCGGCUUUCGAACUGUUAAUAUUCAUUGUCACAUCCUCUGCAUUCUUGGCAACUUCGACAAAUAUUAGUCUACCAUCUACAAUCUGAAACCAAAGAUACACACAAAAGAACCAAAAUGUAACUUCAGUACAUCUGUCAAGAAGUUCAAUAACGUUAUCAUCACAAUGAACACAGACCAACUUCAAUAUAUCUUCAGACUCUAAUCAGCAUUUCUACAGUAGAUUCUAAUACAAUGGAUCACACAAGUGUCCUGACUAGUGGUGUUGAGGUUAAGGACAAUAUUGUGCCAAGAGACGAGUUUUCGAUAAGUAAACUCAUUACAGUACAAAGUCAAACCUAUUCAAGUGUUAAUGAAAGAUGUUUCAAUUGGAUUUUCUAACCUUCCCAUCUAAGCUUUUCAUUGCCUUUCGAGCAUCAUCUUCAGAUUCGUAGGUGAUAAAGCCGAACCCUUUUGGUCUCUGUGUUUUUGAGUCCCUAAUAAGCCGAGCUGAAACAAACCCACAUCACCAAAUUUAACUAAGGAACAAAAAUACAGCUUCAUCAAACAUAUUCAGUUUCGUGUCUGCACCUUCUUUAAUUUGACCAAACUGAGAGAACAAUUGCCUCAGAGAUUGAUCUGUAGCGUAAGCUGAUAACCCUGCACAAGAUAUAAAUCUGAUCAAACCAAACCAAGCAUACAUAGAAAGAAUCUAAAAAGAGAGAUAAAACAAUAACAUACUGCUUACGAAGAGCUGAGCUGAGACUCUCUUAGCCAUCUUUCAACAACCCCAAACUGUUUCGAAAGAAACCCUUUAAUAAAGAACGAAAUCUAUUUCUAGGUUAAACACUCGAACGAAACGACGACGUUUUGGAGAGAAACACUAAGAUUCCGAUCUACACAACGACGUUUAAUUGAAGCGAGACCGAUACAUUUGCAGUGACAAAGAUAUGAUUUUUAUUAGAACAUUAAACUUUAAUUGAUUUAAGAGAAACAUCGGAUAUGAUUCGAUUACACCCAAAAGAUAACAAAACAGAAAUCAAAAUUACAGAACUUCUAAUAGUCAAAUUCUAAAAAAAAACCCUAAUUUUAACAAACACCGUAAAUCCCAAAUCAUCGAUUCCAACAAAAGAUCCCACAAAUUCAAGAACUGGUGAAUUUAGUCACCGCCUUGGUUCCUUCAGAAACAGCGUGUUUAGCGAGCUCACCGGGAAGAACAAGUCUCACAGCAGUCUGAAUCUCCCGAGAAGUAAUCGUAGGCUUCUUAUUAUACCUAGCGAGCUUGGAUGAUUCAGAGGCAAGCUUCUCAAAGAUAUCGUUGAUGAAGCUGUUCAUAAUCCCCAUAGCUUUGCUUG